GGACCACCAACACUAAGUGCCGGUGACGUCACCACGGCGCCCGUGCCAGGCCAGGUGCACUUUGAGGUCACGUGAAGUUGUCGAAGGCUCACCGACAGACCCAGGUGCCAUGGGUUGGCCGACUGCGAUGACUGGACACGUGAUUUGCAUCUGGCGAAACCUACUCUCACGACGCUGAUGCUGAUGGGUGUUCGUGUGCGUUGGUGUGGCGCUGUCCGAAUUCAUUCACGGAACAGCGCCGAGGACAGUGACGGCUGAGAUGAAGUGAGCAACCCGACGGUGGUGAAUAACCAUCAGCGGGCGGGCGGGCGUGGUG